ACAAGUUUCAAUAUUCAUGCUCUCUAUCUGAAAAGCUUGCAAAUCUUCUAUUCCAGAAUCACGUCCCCUGCAUUUAUCUACAGUUCUGAAACUCUUACUAGAGUUACGAUCUUUGCUUCCAAAACUUACCAGAUUCAAGUUUUAUGGGACUAAACCUUUACUGUGCACUGCCAAGAACCUCACUUCUGUGCACAAAGUAAAUAUCGAUUUAUGUCCAGAUAUUGAGCGUAUCUGGGAUAUCGAUUCAAAGAAGCAGCUCGGUCUCUAUUUGAGCAAGUUGCUCAAUGAGUUUCAUAAAAAUCAUCACAUUGUCCUUGACUACAGUUAAGGUUCUUUCGCAAGUUCCUGAUAUACUGAAUGAGCAACCAUCAAAAUCUCCUAGCUUGGAGUGUCUGAAGUUGAAAACUAAUACAUGGUGGAAGAACCUCUCUCUGCUUUCCUGUAUCCUUACUUUCUUAAUGACUCCUCCAUUUUGAAAGUAUGUCAAUUAUAUUAAUUCCUGGAUGAGGUAAACAUAACAAUUCCUCUUGUAUUCUUAUUGUUUGACACUGAUACCGUGUGCACUUUUGGACAUCAACAGACUUCCUUUUAAUGAUUUCUUAAGUGCAGUUGUCAAAGCAACUUGUCUUUUUUAGGUUGCCUUGUGGUUUUUCCGAGGUGCAAAUGCCAAACCAGGUUUUAUUUGAAGCAGUUUUUGUUCAUCUUGAUCAUGCAACCUAGGAGCAGCAAGUAUUGCACCUGCAACUCAACUAUAGUGAGAGAGUUGGAGCCUUGGAGGCCAUGUCCAUUGUUCCUCUAAAUAGAGAACUCUUGCUUUCCAGGCUUUGAGGCUAAGGUGUUUAAGUGGAUCUUCCAUGGCAGAAUCUCAUCCACGUUCUCAACAGAGAAAUCAUAUUAAUUAUCAUGAUCAACUGCUCCUUAAAUUUCAAUUUAAUUAGUUUAAAGAAGUUGCUCAAAUAUGUUUUGCUUUCUAGUCACCUUCCUAAUAAACAAAUAAUACGAGUUAAUUUUAUUUUUAAUUUA